CGUUUGACAGAGGACGAAAACAAGGAAUGAUCUUUUGCUAAGCGUGUUAUCACACUGCUGACACAUAAAUUGCUGACAGAAUA